rnacentral:rRNA from 1 species
AGUGAACGCUGGCGGUAGGCCUAACACAUGCGAGUCGAACGGCAGCACAGUAAGAGCUUGCUCUUACGGGUGGCGAGUGGCGGACGGGUGAGGAAUACAUCGGAAUCUACUUUUUCGUGGGGGAUAACGUAGGGAAACUUACGCUAAUACCGCAUACGACCUACGGGUGAAAGCAGGGGAUCUUCGGACCUUGCGCGAUUGAAUGAGCCGAUGUCGGAUUAGCUAGUUGGCGGGGUAAAGGCCCACCAAGGCGACGAUCCGUAGCUGGUCUGAGAGGAUGAUCAGCCCCACUGGAACUGAGACACGGUCCAGACUCCUACGGGAGGCAGCAGUGGGGAAUAUUGGACAAUGGGCGCAAGCCUGAUCCAGCUAUACCGCGUGGGUGAAGAAGGCCUUCGGGUUGUAAAGCCCUUUUGUUGGGAAAGAAAAGCAGCAGGUUAAUACCCCGCUGUUCUGACGGUACCCAAAGAAUAAGCACCGGCUAACUUCGUG